CUAUGGAGCUUUAAACACUUAAGUUAAUUAUUACCUGAUAGUACUUCUAUGGAUAUAAAACAUAAUAUAAAUAAGCUUAACUUAACUUGUUUUCGGUUGGGGCGACCAAGGGGAAAAACAAAACCCCCUCAUCGAUUGAGUAUUACAUAUACUUAAAAACUAGAACAAACAGUUCUAGUUAAUAGAACAUCUAUCGAACAAUGACCCAGGGCACAAAACCCUGAUCAAUGAACCAAGUUACCCUAG
rnacentral:rRNA from 1 species